rnacentral:rRNA from 1 species
ACGAUUGACGGAGCGAAGCGACGUCAAAGCGUUCAUUAAAGUCGAGUUGGCUUAGGGAUACGUUCGUUGGGUAGGGGAGCGUUCUGUAAGCCUGUGAAGGUGGCCUGUGAGGGUUGCUGGAGGUAUCAGAAGUGCGAAUGCUGACAUAAGUAACGAUAAAGCGGGUGAAAAGCCCGCUCGCCGGAAGACCAAGGGUUCCUGUCCAACGUUAAUCGGGGCAGGGUGAGUCGACCCCUAAGGCGAGGCCGAAAGGCGUAGUCGAUGGGAAACGGGUUAAUAUUCCCGUACUUGGUGUUACUGCGAAGGGGGGACGGAGAAGGCUAUGUUGGCCGGGCGACGGUUGUCCCGGUUUAAGCGUGUAGGUGUGUGUUCCAGGUAAAUCCGGUUCACUUUAACACUGAGGCGUGACGACGAGGCACUACGGUGCUGAAGCAACAAAUGCCCUGCUUCCAGGAAAAGCCUCUAAGCAUCAGGUAACAUCAAAUCGUACCCCAAACCGACACAGGUGGUCAGGUAGAGAAUACCAAGGCGCUUGAGAGAACUCGGGUGAAGGAACUAGGCAAAAUGGUGCCGUAACUUCGGGAGAAGGCACGCUGACACGUAGGUGAAGUGAUUUACUCAUGGAGCUGAAGUCAGUCGAAGAUACCAGCUGGCUGCAACUGUUUAUUAAAAACACAGCACUGUGCAAACACGAAAGUGGACGUAUACGGUGUGACGCCUGCCCGGUGCCGGAAGGUUAAUUGAUGGGGUCAGCGCAAGCGAAGCUCCUGAUCGAAGCCCCGGUAAACGGCGGCCGUAACUAUAACGGUCCUAAGGUAGCGAAAUUCCUUGUCGGGUAAGUUCCGACCUGCACGAAUGGCGUAAUGAUGGCCAGGCUGUCUCCACCCGAGACUCAGUGAAAUUGAACUCGCUGUGAAGAUGCAGUGUACCCGCGGCAAGACGGAAAGACCCCGUGAACCUUUACUAUAGCUUGACACUGAACAUUGAGCCUUGAUGUGUAG